rnacentral:rRNA from 1 species
GACGAACGCUGGCGGCGUGCUUAACACAUGCAAGUCGAACGGAGUGCUUGGUGCUUGCACUGAGUGGUUAGUGGCGAACGGGUGAGUAACACGUGAGUAACCUGCCCCCUUCUUUGGGAUAAGCACCUGAAAGGGUGUCUAAUACUGAUUAUUUUGCUGGAAUCGCAGGGUGUUGGUUGGCAAGGUUUUUCUGGUGGGGGAUGGGCUCGCGGCUUAUCAGCUUGUUGGUGGGGUAAUGGCUUACCAAGGCUUUGACGGGUAACCGGCCUGAGAGGGUGACCGGUCACAUUGGGACUGAGAUACGGCCCAGACUCCUACGGGAGGCAGCAGUGGGGAAUAUUGCACAAUGGACGAAAGUCUGAUGCAGCGACGCCGCGUGAGGGAUGAAGGCCUUCGGGUUGUAAACCUUUUUCGCUUUUGACCAAGGCAGCAUUUUGGUGUUGUUGAGGGUAUGAGGUAAAGAAGCUCCGGCUAACUACGUGCCAGCCGCCGCAGUAACAC